AUGGUAGCCCGGUCUCUCCUCCGUCCGUGCCACCCACAAGGUCGUACAUCCCUGCAUCAGAUGGGGAUGUACGCAGCACUCCGUGUGGCGCAAUGGGUGGUGGGCAAGGCGCUAGCCCCCGUUGCCGAGGGUGUGCUGGGGGCUUGGGCAGACACCAAGAACUUUGGUCCCAACGUCGAGGCCCUCAGCACGGAACUGCUGCUCGUGAAGGCCAUGCUUGAGCAGGCUGCCCACAAGGAGCUCGGAGGCCCGGCAAUGGAGAUGCUGCUGCAGAAGCUGCGGGACUCGGCUCAGAAUGCCGAAGAUUUGCUGGAUGAGCUGGACUAUUUCCGCAUCCACGACAAGCUCCAUGGAACGUAUGAGGCUGCCGACAAGCACGGCAAGGGUUGCGUCCGCAACCUUGCCUUCAAUGCUCGCCACACCGCCGAAACUGUUGGCAAACUGGUUAACUGUUGCGCUUGGCAGCGUGCUAAGCGCCGGCAGAGGUCACACAACAAUUCCUCCUCAGCGCCAAGCGCCAAUCAUGAGGCCAGCGGAUGCAUGCCCAAGCUCGGUAAACUCCUCCCUUGCUCAUCUUCCCCACAUCUACAUGUUGGUGAUGGCGAUGGUGGCAAUGAGCAAGAAACACCAAAGCUUGAGUUUAAUAGGAUUGGUUUCUCUCAAAGGAUGAAUAACAUUGUAGAGAAACUGCAGCUUAUGCGCAAUGAGGUUAGCAAGAUUCUGAUACAUUGUGGCCCUAGAACUGUCCCAGACACUGCCCAAAUUCGUCCUAUCACCAAAGGUCGGAUUGAUGAGCCAAAACUGUAUGGGAGGGACCGUGUCAUGAAUAGCAUCAUACAUGAUAUCACCAAGGGUCAAUAUUGUGACAAGGGUCUAACUGUGCUGCCGGUUGUGGGUCCGGGGGGAAUGGGGAAGACAACUCUGAUACAACACAUAUAUCGCAACCAACAAGUGCAGAAUCAUUUUCCAGUCAUGAUUUGGAUAUGUGUCUCCCUUGAUUUCAAUCUCGAUAAGGUGCUAGAACAGAUUAAAACAUGUACACAUCGAGUUGAAGCGGAAAAAGAGGGUAUUAUAACAGAAAAUGUGAUUGAACAAAGAUUAAAAUAUAAAAGGUUCUUACUUGUAUUGGAUGAUAUAUGGCGGAUUAGUAAUGGGGAUGAUUGGGAAAAACUAUUGUCGACACUCAAUCAAUCACAAGAAAAGGGUUCCAUGAUUCUCGUCACAACUCGGUUUCAAGCAAUAGCACAGAAGGUUAAAACAAUUGGCCACUCAAUAAAGUUGAACGGUUUAGAAUCUGAAGAGUUUAGGAAGUUGUUCCUUGCAUUUGUAUUUGGUGAUGAGCAAUGUCCAAGGGAUAAACAUUUUUUGCUUGAGACUGGAGAUAAGAUAAUGGAAAAACUAAAGGGCUCCCCUCUUGCGGCAAAAACAGUUGGUAGAUUACUGAGUAAAGACCUUCGUUUGCUUCAUUGGAGAAGGGUCCUAAAAAGUAAAGGAUGGGAGAAGCAGACUGAUGACAAUGAAAUUAUGCCUGCCUUGAAGCUUAGCUAUGACUUCCUUCCUUUCCAUCUGCAACAAUGUUUUGCAUAUUCUGCAUUGUUUCCUGAAGAUUGCAAUUUCAGAAGCCACGAUCUCAUCAAUCUGUGGAUCGGACUAGAUAUUUUGAUACCUAGUGGUCAAAACCAAACAUGUGAAGAUAUAGGUUUGAGCAAUUUAAAUGAGUUAGUCAUUCAUGGUUUUUUCAGAGAAGAGGAAACUGAUGGUGUUUUGUUAUAUGUCAUGCAUGACUUACUGCAUGAUUUGGCAUUGAAAGUUGGAUCGAAUGAUUGUCUUAGUUUACGUCUCUCUGAUGUUGGAUCAGCAGAAAUUCAGCCAUCCAUCCGUCACUUGUCUAUAAGCACAGAUGACUUAGGUGAAUAUGAUGCAGUAUCUGGUGAAAAAUUUAAGAGUGAAUUGGAAGAACUGAAGACAAGAUUGAAGGUUGAACAUUUGCAAAGUUUGAUGUUACUAGGAGAAAUGGAUGAAAAUUUCGCCAAGAUAUUUGGUGAUUUUUUGUGUGAAGCAAAUGCUAUUCGUGUUCUUUAUUUGCCCAGCAUGAUGUGUCCCGUGGACUCCAUGUUACAUGACUAUUCAAGACUUGUCCACCUACGAUACCUAUAUCUAGGGACAGAAGACAACAAGAUGCAUUUACCACAGAACAUCUCUAAAUUUUAUCAUUUAAGGAUUCUAGAUCUUGAGUCGUGGGAUGGCAGUUGUGAUUUGCCUGAAGACAUGAGCAACCUUGGCAAAUUGUGCCAUUUUUAUGCCCCAGGUGAUGAUGAGAUUCAUUCUGAUAUUUGUAAUGUGGGAAAACUUAAACUCUUAGAAGAGUUAAAAGUAUUUCGAGUCAGUAAAAAAAGCCAAGGAUUUGAAUCAAAGCAACUAGAGCAUUUGACCAAGCUAAGGGAGCUUGGCAUAUACAACCUUGAGAAGAUACAUACAGUAGAAGAAGCAGCUCAAGCAAAACUGUUGGAGAAAAAAUACUUGAGGAGGUUAACAUUGGACUGGGAUAGUGAGCGGUCUAGUGUUGAGCCUGGUGUGGAAGCGGCGGUUCUUGAGAGCCUUCAACCACAUGGAGAUCUUCAAGUAUUGUGCAUUAGAGGGCACAGAGGCCCUUCUUGUCCAGCAUGGCUGGGUGAUCAGCUUGUUGUUGAAGCUCUGCAAUCUCUUUGGCUUGAUGGUGUUUCUUGGGAGGUUUUCCCUUCUUUAGGGAAGGCGUGGGAUCUUCGUGAACUGAGGUUGGAGAAUAUUGCCGGACUAAAAGAGGUUAUCAUGGAGAAAAGUUUCUGCAUGCUAAUAAAGCUUGAACUCAUUGGGCUAGGAAGUUAUGAAAAAUGGGUUUACCCAGCUGAACAAGAUUCUUCUAUAGGUGGAGACUUGUUGCCACCGGAUGCUCAUAUAUUCCCUCUUUUGCAAGUUCUGAUCAUUAGGAAGUGCCCAAAACUGUUGGGGUUGCCUUUCUCAAACCACAUUGUUUUUCCAGAUUGGUUCCCUAAGCUACAAGAGCUUGAAGUAUGCGACUGUCCAGAAUUUUCGUCAGUGAUUCCCACGUCCUGGAUUGAGAGUCUGCGUCGUGUCAUGAUUGAACGUGUCAAGCUACUGAAGAGGUUUGCGUACUCAAAAUUAUCUGAUGGAGCAGAAUUGAAAAUCAUUGGAUGGGGUGAUUUGCAAAGCUUAGAUCAACUGUUAGUUUUUGAUAAGGAAACAUGUAUGGAGAAGCUGACACUCGAUAGCUGCCCACCUCUGGAGUUGAAGCACCUUCUGAAGUUAACCUCGCUGAAGAAAUUAAUUGUAGAAAAUUCACUUAGUCUGGUUGAACCACUAGGAGGUCAGGGUGAUGUGGAAUGGCAGCUCCCUGUUGAGCAUAUCAAGGUCUAUGGUUUAAAUGGUAAUAGUGGGAAGGAAUUGACAGAGCUACUCCCUCACCUCCCAAGGCUCUCCAUAUUGAAUAUAUGGAAGUGUAAAAACAUAAAAAAGCUGGUAGUGGGGGUGGAUGUGCAACAGACAACAUCAGCAGCAUCAGAUGAAAUAACAAGACCAUCAGAGGAAGAGGAUGAUGGGGUGCUGCUCUUACCAGCUCAGAUCUUUGACUCACUACGGGAAUUAGAUUUCUCUGGCUGCCCAGAGCUGGUCCUGGUGGACCCACCAACUCUUGUUCCCGGAGGAGGUCUCCAAGCCUUGCGAUCCCUCCAGAGUUUAUUAAUAGUGUGGUCCCCAAAGUUUCUAUCCGCCUUCUCGUUUUCCUGUCACAUUUUUCCUUCCUCCCUGCAAUACCUGGAGCUUACUGUGAAAGGCAUGGGGACGCUGGAGCCCCUCGCAAACCUCUCCUCUCUUACCAAAUUAAAUUUGGAAGGUUGCGGACAGGAUCUCAAGUGUCAGGGUUUGCGGUCUCUUCUUACCAACGGAGGCCAGCUCAACAAAUUAAUAGCCCGUGGCAGCCCUAGGUUCUUUGCUGGUUGGGAUCCCAAUCCCAGACGGACUUUGGAGGACGUUAAAGGAGGAGAAGAGCAACCGACGCAGCUUGUUUCAUCCACACUGCAGGAGCUUUGUACAGAUGACAUAAGGGGACUCCUUGCUGCACCGAUCUGCAGCUUCCUUUCUUCCUCCCUCACCAAGCUGGAACUUCGUGGGUAUGGGUCUGAAGGGAUGGAGCGCUUCAGCAAGGAGCAAGAGGACGCCCUUCAGCUCCUCUCCUCCCUCCAGAAACUUCAGUUUAUGCAUUUUGUCGAUCUUCAGCAACUCCCUACAAGGCUGCGCAACCUUACCAGCCUCAAGAUAUUAUCAAUCUACCGCUGUCCAGCCAUCUCGUCAUUGCCCAACGACGGCCUCCCCAAAUCACUGCAAGAGCUAGUUGUUGGAUACAUGUGCAGCGAGGAGCUAAGACAGCAUUGCAGGGGGUUAGAGGGAACCAUCCAAAAAGUCAUAACAUAG
rnacentral:rRNA from 1 species